CACUCUAGACGAACUGCCGUUGACAAAACGGAGGAAGGUGGGAUGACGUCAAAUCAUCAUGCCCUUACUGUUCUGGGCGUACACACGUGCUACAAUGGCCGGUACAGACGGACGCAAAGCCGCGAGGUGGAGCAAAUCCUAAAAAGCCGGUCUCAGUUCGGAUUGCAGGCUGCAAUUCGCCUGCAUGAAGUCGGAAUCGCUAGUAAUCGCAGGUCAGCAUACUGCGGUGAAUACGUUCCCGGGCCUU
rnacentral:rRNA from 1 species